AGCGAACGCUGGCGGCAGGCCUAACACAUGCAAGUCGAACGAAGCCUUCGGGCUUAGUGGCGGACGGGUGAGUAACACGUGGGAACGUACCUUUUGGUUCGGAAUAACGCAGAGAAAUUUGCGCUAAUACCGAAUGAGCCCUUCGGGGGAAAGAUUUAUCGCCGAAAGAUCGGCCCGCGUUGGAUUAGGUAGUUGGUGUGGUAAAGGCGCACCAAGCCUACGAUCCAUAGCUGGUCUGAGAGGAUGAUCAGCCACACUGGGACUGAGACACGGCCCAGACUCCUACGGGAGGCAGCAGUGGGGAAUCUUGCGCAAUGGGCGAAAGCUUGACGCAGCCAUGCCGCGUGAAUGAUGCAGGUCUUAGGAUUGUAAAAUUCUUUUACCAGGGACGAUGAUGACGGUACCUGGAGAAAAAGCCCCGGCUAACUUCGUGCCAGCCGCCGCCGUAACAC
rnacentral:rRNA from 1 species